rnacentral:rRNA from 1 species
AAAUUGAAGAGUUUGAUCAUGGCUCAGAUUGAACGCUGGCGGCAGGCCUAACACAUGCAAGUCGAACGGUAACAGGAAGCAGCUUGCUGCUUUGCUGACGAGUGGCGGACGGGUGAGUAAUGUCUGGGAAACUGCCUGAUGGAGGGGGAUAACUACUGGAAACGGUAGCUAAUACCGCAUAACGUCGCAAGACCAAAGAGGGGGACCUUAGGGCCUCUUGCCAUCGGAUGUGCCCAGAUGGGAUUAGCUAGUAGGUGGGGUAAAGGCUCACCUAGGCGACGAUCCCUAGCUGGUCUGAGAGGAUGACCAGCCACACUGGAACUGAGACACGGUCCAGACUCCUACGGGAGGCAGCAGUGGGGAAUAUUGCACAAUGGGCGCAAGCCUGAUGCAGCCAUGCCGCGUGUAUGAAGAAGGCCUUCGGGUUGUAAAGUACUUUCAGCGGGGAGGAAGGGAGUAAAGUUAAUACCUUUGCUCAUUGACGUUACCCGCAGAAGAAGCACCGGCUAACUCCGUGCCAGCAGCCGCGGUAAUACGGAGGGUGCAAGCGUUAAUCGGAAUUACUGGGCGUAAAGCGCACGCAGGCGGUUUGUUAAGUCAGAUGUGAAAUCCCCGGGCUCAACCUGGGAACUGCAUCUGAUACUGGCAAGCUUGAGUCUCGUAGAGGGGGGUAGAAUUCCAGGUGUAGCGGUGAAAUGCGUAGAGAUCUGGAGGAAUACCGGUGGCGAAGGCGGCCCCCUGGACGAAGACUGACGCUCAGGUGCGAAAGCGUGGGGAGCAAACAGGAUUAGAUACCCUGGUAGUCCACGCCGUAAACGAUGUCGACUUGGAGGUUGUGCCCUUGAGGCGUGGCUUCCGGAGCUAACGCGUUAAGUCGACCGCCUGGGGAGUACGGCCGCAAGGUUAAAACUCAAAUGAAUUGACGGGGGCCCGCACAAGCGGUGGAGCAUGUGGUUUAAUUCGAUGCAACGCGAAGAACCUUACCUGGUCUUGACAUCCACGGAAGUUUUCAGAGAUGAGAAUGUGCCUUCGGGAACCGUGAGACAGGUGCUGCAUGGCUGUCGUCAGCUCGUGUUGUGAAAUGUUGGGUUAAGUCCCGCAACGAGCGCAACCCUUAUCCUUUGUUGCCAGCGGUCCGGCCGGGAACUCAAAGGAGACUGCCAGUGAUAAACUGGAGGAAGGUGGGGAUGACGUCAAGUCAUCAUGGCCCUUACGACCAGGGCUACACACGUGCUACAAUGGCGCAUACAAAGAGAAGCGACCUCGCGAGAGCAAGCGGACCUCAUAAAGUGCGUCGUAGUCCGGAUUGGAGUCUGCAACUCGACUCCAUGAAGUCGGAAUCGCUAGUAAUCGUGGAUCAGAAUGCCACGGUGAAUACGUUCCCGGGCCUUGUACACACCGCCCGUCACACCAUGGGAGUGGGUUGCAAAAGAAGUAGGUAGCUUAACCUUCGGGAGGGCGCUUACCACUUUGUGAUUCAUGACUGGGGUGAAGUCGUAACAAGGUAACCGUAGGGGAACCUGCGGUUGGAUCACCUCCUU